AGUAGUCAAUAAUUAACUGCUAGUCGUCAUGCUAACAAUGAAUCAAGCUAGAAUCUGGUCCUGGCUGCACAGAUUUCUGCCUGUCUCUCUGUUUGUCUGUCUCUCUGUUUGCCUGUCUCUCAGUCACGUUUGCGGUCGUUUGCACAGAUGUUUUGUGGAUUGUGUCAUAAGUGGAUUAACUAUGCUGUAAGUAAAGUUAAUGAACUUGUGAGCAUGCCUAUAACGAAUGUAUUUACUACACUCGGUAAUAUGUACUCCUAUGUAGCAAUGAUUGUAAUAUCUGGUGUUACCUGGAUUCUUCCCCGUGUAGAUUAUCUCUCGACCGAGUUCUAUAGAGAGUACAUAAGGCAUUUUGUCUCAAGCCUUAUCCCGCUAUUGCAAUCCGUAACAUAUCUUUUUUGUACGUACGGUGCCAAUCUACUAUGGUGGAAUAAGCCUAAUGUUGAGAACAUUACCUCAGGGUUGACCGGGUCUGAGAGCUAACGUAAGUUUGCCAAGACUGUGAAGCCUACAGCGACUGUACUUACUACACUAGGUAAAAUGUUUGUAAACAGUCUUUUUAGCUGGACUCUUCCUCUUAUGCAAGAUCUCCUGUCAACCCUUACCUCGAUAUUGCUGUCCUUAACCAAACUUUUUGGUACGUUCGGUGGCAAUCUACUGGGGUGGGAUUUUGGGACUGUGAAGCCUACAGCGACUGUACUUACUACACUAGGUAAAAUGUUAACUUUUGUAACAUCUCUUGUAAGCUGUCUUUUUAGCUGGACUCUUCCCCUUAUGUAAGAUCUCCUAUCAACCCUUACCUCGCUAUGGCUGUCCUUAACCAGACAUUUUGGCAAUCUACUGGUGUGGGAUUUUGGAACGGAAUAUAACGAGCCUAAGGCUAAGAACAUUACCUCUGGGUUGACCGGACCUGAGAGCUAACGUAAGUUUGCCAAGACUGUGAAGCCUACAGUGACUGCACUUACUACAAUAAGUAAGAUGUUCUCGUUUGUAGCAUCGUUUGUAAGCACUCUUGUUACCUGGAUUCUUCCCCGUAUACAAGAUCUCCCGUCCCAGUUCCAUAAGGAAUACAUAAGGCAUAUUGUGCCAAACCUUACCCCGCUAUUGCAGUCCGUAACAAAAUAUUUUUACACGUUCGGUGCCAAUCUACUGGGGUGGGGUUUACACGAUAUUGUGAUACGUGUACCGUGCUCGACUAAAGUUUUACCAACGAGCUCGAAGGCUGAGGCUGAAGCCUAAGGCUGAUGAGAAUAUUAUUUAAGGGUUGACCGGGCCUGAGAGCUACCGUAAGUUUGUCAAGACUGUGAAGCCUACAGCGACUGACUUUACUGCACUAGUUGAUAUGCGAGCUCGUAUUCUGAUACAUUAAAUCUGUAGGAUUUAUAAUAAGCUACGUGUCCAAUAGAGUCACCGAACCAGUAGCAAUUGGUGUCACUGACUUACUUAUUAGACUUAGGUUUCUGAGUCUAGUGUAAGUAAAUUGUAUAGUGAUCAUGAUCUUU